CAUUGUCUGGUGUUCAAGGCUGGUUUGUAUGGUGAUGAGCAUGUAAAUCAUUCUUUGACUACAAUGGACGCAAGGUGUGGUGAAAUCGGGUUUGCACGGAAGGUGUUUGAUGAAAUGGGUGAAAGAGACUUGGUGUCGUGGAAUUCGAUGAUUUCGGGGUAUUCUAAGAUGGGUUUUGCUAAAGAGGCAAUUGGGUUGUUUAUGGAAAUGAAGGAGGAGGGGUUUGAGCCAGAUGAGAUGACGUUGGUGAAUGUUCUUGGGGCGUGUGGGGAUUUGGGUUUGGGGAGAUGGGUGGAGGGGCUUGUUUUGGAGAAGAAGAUGGAGGUAAAUUCGUAUGUGGGGUCUGCCUUGAUUGUCAUGUAUGGUAAGUGUGGGGAUUUGAUAUCUGCGAGGAGGGUCUUUGAUUCAAUGCCAAACAAGGAUGUUGUCACUUGGAAUGCCAUUAUCACAUGGUAAUUAGACCGGUUUUAUACUUUGUAAUUGUCACAUAUAGUGGAAUUGUGUUUAUUUCUGUUCCUUUAAACUAACUUGAAAUUUGAAUUCUUCCUAAUUAAUCAGCUAUGAAAUAAAAACCACACAAAUAUAUGAAAUUUGUAAAUGCGUUUCAAGUUAAUAUGAUUUUUUUUGUUCAACUAUCACUUCAUAUGUGUGCACAGAAUGGAGCUUCCAAUGAAGCAAUUGUACUAUUCAUUGGAAUGAGAGAGGCAGGUCCUAAUCCAGAUAAAGUCACAAUGAUUGAAGUAUUGUCUGCAUGAUCCACAAUAGGGGCCCUUGAUUUGGGGAAAUGGGUUGAGACACAUGCAUCAGAAAUAGAUUUACACCACGAUGUCUAUGUUGCGAGUGAAUUAAUUGAUAUGUAUGCAAAAUGUGGGAGCUUGGAUGAUGCACUCAGGGUUUUUGAGAGUAUGCCUCAUAAAAAUGAGGUCUCAUGGAAUGCCAUGAUUUCUGCUCUUGCUUUCCAUGGGCGGGCCCUGGAAGCAUUAUCAUUAUUCAGACGCAUGUCAAAGGAUAAUGGCACUGUUCAGCCUAAUGACAUCACUUUCAUAGGAGUACUUUCUGCAUGCGUGCAUGCCGGAUUGGUUGAUGAGGGCAGCCAAUUGUUUGAAUCAAUGAAAAUGUAAUUUGGAUUGGUCCCAAAUGUCAAGCAUUAUUCUUGCAUGGUUGAUCUUUGUGCGCGUGCAGGACUUCCGAAUGAAGCUUGGGACUUAAUCAAGAAGAUGCCUGGUAAACGAGAUGGAAUUGUGUUGGGGUCAUUGCUUGGUGCCUGUCAGAGGCGUAGAAAUGCAGAUGUUGGUGAAAGGGUCAUUCAAUUGUUUCCAGAGAUGCAAUUAUCUCAUCUAAGAUAUAUGCAAAUAUGAGAAGGUGGGAUGAUUCUGCAAAGAUGAGGGUGUUGAUGAGGCAGUGUAGUGUCUCCAAAACCCCUGGCUGUAGCUGGAUUGACGUUAGAGCUCGUGCUCAUGAA